AUUGAACGCUGGCGGCAGGCCUAACACAUGCAAGUCGAACGAGAGGCGGACGGGUGAGUAAUGUCUGGGAAACUGCUUGAUGGAGGGGGAUAAUUACUGGAAACGGUAGCUAAUACUGCAUACCAUCAGAUGUGCCCAGAUGGGUUUCGCUUGGUGGUGGGGUAACGACUCGCCAAGGCGACGAUCCCUAGCUGGUCUGAGAGGAUGACCGGCACCGCUGGAACGAAGUCAGGGUCCAGACACAUACGGGCGGCAGCGAGGGGGAAUAUUGCACAAUGAGCGCAAGCCUGAUGCACCCAUGCCGCGGGUAUGAAGAAGGCCUGCGGGUUGUAAAGUACUUUCAGCUGGGAGGCGUUACACGCAAAAGAAGCACCGGCUAACUCCGUGCCAGCAGCCGCGGUAAUA
rnacentral:rRNA from 1 species